CGGAACACGUACGCAAUCUACCCAAAACUGAUGAAUAGCCCUCCGAAAGGAGGAUUAAUACAUCGUAACCUAAUUGAAUGGCAUCAUUUAAUUAGUAUAGCUCCGGCGGUUUUGGAUGAGCGUGCGCCUGAUUAGGUAGUUGGCGGGGUAACGGCCCACCAAGCCUGCAAUCAGUAACUGGUGUGAGAGCACGACCAGUCACACGGGCACUGAGACACGGGCCCG
rnacentral:rRNA from 1 species